rnacentral:lncRNA from 10 species
CUUAGCUCUGCCAGGGAGACCCAGCUAAACCUUGGAAAAGCCAUUUCACCGUCUAGGGCCUCAGUUUCUUCAUCUGCCCACAGAGUCUCCAGGGGUGCAGAGGUGCCGUUGGGUUUUGAUUAACAGCACAGUUCUGUUUACGGAAGAGACCUGAAAUCAACAUUUCUGGAUUGAUUUUCUGACCAGCAUAGCUCCCUGUGACUGACACAUUCCUCAGAGUAUGCUGUGAUCUGAGGGAGAUACAUUCAGAAGAAGGACUCCCAGGCAGGUGGAUAGGAAUGACCCGAAUGUUAAAAUUUAGAUCGUCUCUCCGCAUCCCUUCCAAGAGCUGGCAAUGAGCCUACAGUGUAAUUCAGGCUUUAGCGUUGGCUCUAAGAAUGUCCUGUUUCCAUUUCUGAUUGUUUUGGUGAUAGCAGAACCCAUUGCAACCUUCCAUGAUGUGUGAACUGUCAGAGAAA